UAGGGAAUAUUGCACAAUGGGCGCAAGCCUGAUGCAGCCAUGCCGCGUGUAUGAAGAAGGCCUUCGGGUUGUAAAGUACUUUCAGUCGGGAGGAAGGUGGUAAGGUUAAUAACCUUAUCAAUUGACGUUACCGACAGAAGAAGCACGGGCUAACUCCGUGCCAGCAGCCGCGGUAAUACGGAGGGUGCAAGCGUUAAUCGGAAUUACUGGGCGUAAAGCGCACGCAGGCGGUUGAUUGAGUCAGAUGUGAAAUCCCCGGGCUUAACCCGGGAAUUGCAUCUGAUACUGGUCAGCUAGAGUCUUGUAGAGGGGGGUAGAAUUCCAUGUGUAGCGGUGAAAUGCGUAGAGAUGUGGAGGAAUACCGGUGGCGAAGGCGGCCCCCUGGACAAAGACUGACGCUCAGGUGCGAAAGCGUGGGGAGCAAACAGG
rnacentral:rRNA from 1 species